rnacentral:rRNA from 1 species
UACGAAGGGUGCAAACGUUGCUCGGAAUUACUGGGCGUAAAGGGCUCGUAGGCGGCCAACUAAGUCAGACGUGAAAUCCCUCAGCUUAACUGGGGAACUGCGUCUGAUACUGGAUGGCUUGGAUUCGGGAGAGGAAUGCGGAAUUCCAGGUGUAGCGGUGAAAUGCGUAGAUAUCUGGAGGAACACCGGUGGCGAAGGCGGCAUUCUGGACCGACAUUGACGCUGAGGAGCGAAAGCCAGGGGAGCAAACGGG